rnacentral:rRNA from 1 species
AUUGAACGCUGGCGGCAGGCUUAACACAUGCAAGUCGAGCGGGGGAAGGUAGCUUGCUACCGGACCUAGCGGCGGACGGGUGAGUAAUGCUUAGGAAUCUGCCUAUUAGUGGGGGACAACAUCUCGAAAGGGAUGCUAAUACCGCAUACGUCCUACGGGAGAAAGCAGGGGAUCUUCGGACCUUGCGCUAAUAGAUGAGCCCAAGUCGGAUUAGCUAGUUGGUGGGGUAAAGGCCUACCAAGGCGACGAUCUGUAGCGGGUCUGAGAGGAUGAUCCGCCACACUGGGACUGAGACACGGCCCAGACUCCUACGGGAGGCAGCAGUGGGGAAUAUUGGACAAUGGGGGGAACCCUGAUCCAGCCAUGCCGCGUGUGUGAAGAAGGCCUUAUGGUUGUAAAGCACUUUAAGCGAGGAGGAGGCUACUUUAGUUAGUACCUAGAGAUAGUGACGUUACUCGCAGAAUAAGCACCGGCUAACUCUGUGCCAGCAGCCGCGGUAA